UACGUAGGGACCAAGCGUUGUUCGGAUUUACUGGGCGUAAAGGGCGCGUAGGCGGCGCGGUAAGUCACUUGUGAAAUCUCUGAGCUUAACUCAGAACGGCCAAGUGAUACUGCAGUGCUAGAGUGUGGAAGGGGCAAUCGGAAUUCUUGGUGUAGCGGUGAAAUGCGUAGAUAUCAAGAGGAACACCCGAGGUGAAGACGGGUUGCUGGGCCAACACUGACGCUGAGGCGCGAAAGCGUGGGGAGAAAACAGG
rnacentral:rRNA from 1 species